AUGGUGGCCACCCAGUAACUCCACAGUUUGUCUGGUAGUCUAUCCAGCCGGACCAACAGAUGAAACACAUGGAGAACAGUGCAACAAACGAAUGGAAUCAUAAAAAAUAUGGACAAUAGUCAUUUGUGCACAAUCUCCAGUUUUGUCACAGGGCACAAAUAGUGUUUUCAAAUGCCAUAUAUCCCAGGGCCAUAGUCAGAAGG
rnacentral:lncRNA from 1 species